ensembl:snoRNA
GGUCAAUGAUGAGCUGACUUGUAUUCUGAAUCUAAAGUUGAUUAUUAAUACUUUAGUUUUAGAAUUAUUGAGACAUA